rnacentral:rRNA from 1 species
AUUGAACGCUGGCGGCAUGCUUUACACAUGCAAGUCGAACGGCAGCGCGGGCUUCGGCCUGGCGGCGAGUGGCGAACGGGUGAGUAAUGCAUCGGAACGUGCCCAGUAGUGGGGGAUAGCCCGGCGAAAGCCGGAUUAAUACCGCAUACGACCUGAGGGUGAAAGCGGGGGACCGAAAGGCCUCGCGCUAUUGGAGCGGCCGAUGUCGGAUUAGCUAGUUGGUGGGGUAAAGGCUUACCAAGGCGACGAUCCGUAGCUGGUCUGAGAGGACGACCAGCCACACUGGGACUGAGACACGGCCCAGACUCCUACGGGAGGCAGCAGGGGGGAAUUUGGGACAAUGGGGGCAACCCUGAUCCAGCCAUGCCGCGGGCGGGAAGAAGGCCUUCGGGUUGUAAACCGCUUUUGUUCGGGAAGAAAGCCUCUGGGCUAAUACCCCGGGGGGAUGACGGUACCGGAAGAAUAAGCACCGGCUAACUACGUG